AGAUGACAAUCAUGGCAAAGAGAAGUGUCAUGUACCCUUCUGUGGUUUACUAUACUUCUAGUCUCCUUGAGCAAUUGUAAGUGAUAGUUCUCAGAAAUUUUAGACUUCAUUGGUUUCAGUAGUUUUGUUGUAUUAACACCUUGUCAAUGUGAACCACAGUAUAACUACAUGUUAGGCACAUUCGUUGUAUUAUGGAUGUUAUGUGGGUUUUGUCAUGUACAUUAAUUUCUUUAUAUCCUUUGCAACAAUUGGUUAUGUUUUAUAUUACCAGCUUUUUAUUAUACAUUGGUAUCAAUAUUUACUUAUGCAAAUCUAUUGUGACCAUUAGCUUUAUAGUUCUUACGUGAAACAGCAUAGUCAUACUACUCUUCAAAUUCUUUUACGUGGAAGUUAUUUAAAAAGUAAGUUGUUGUAUGUGCAGGCCAAUAUUGAAGAUAUUAAUGUUUCUAAUAAUAAGAUAAAGGUUGCAAAACUAGCAAGGUAACUUCUACAAACUGAUGCUUACAGAAAAAGUAGCUAAGAGAGGUUGAUUAAUAAGCAUGUUGUUGUACUUGUGUUGAUUUCUCAGACUCCUGGUUUAAGUAUGAAAUUUUGAAUUCACAAUGUCCAAUUUGAUUGCCUGUAACAUGAAGUAUUUUGCAAUAUGCAGACAUAGAAUUAUGUUAGUGCAGAGUUUUAUAUAUAUAUGUUGUACCAUUAAAUCUUGAUCUUUAUAACCAUAUGAUGCUCACAUGGCUUGCAAUUCCAUUGCAAUUGAGCGUCGCAGCAAGUCCAUUGAAAUAUAUGUGAGUUACAAAUUAUUAUUAGCACUUUCAAGUACAUGUAUAGUUUCAACAUAUCAUUGCUCAAAGGAUAAUGCUCUUCAUAUUAUUCCUUCUGCUUUGCUGAGAUGCGAUUCAUUUGUAAUAAAAUUCUAAGUCAAUGAUUUUUGGACACCUAACAACUCCCUUUUCAUGAGUAUGGUGUUUUGCCUUUUUGAUAUAGUCUGUGUGAACCGGAAAAUUGAAGAAAUCUCUUCUCCAGUGUUGAUUUGCAAUGGGGGAAGGGCCCAUGUUUUGGGUACUCAAGUCUGCAGUUAGAGUCUAGUGCAAUGCUUGUAACUUCGCUGACAUUCCUCAUCUUCAUCCUACUUUUAGCUCAGGAAACCUGCAGUUGGGGUUGAGACAGAUGAGUCUGGAGGCACAGUGAUCGUGGCAAAGGUGCAUGAAGAGGCUUCCAGUAAUUGAAAUUAUAAUUCAAUUGGUAACAGAAAAAUUCUCAGUUAAUAUGAAGCUGUCUGAUGAGGUUAUUAGUGAGCAGUUAGGUUAUAACAUUUAGUGUGUAGAUAUAGUGUUUUUCAAUUCAUGUUUGUAAUUACUGACCUCUAUUGCGUUUUCUCAUGUGGAACUGAGAGAUUUAAUACAAUGGUUGUUAUC